rnacentral:rRNA from 1 species
GACGAACGCUGGCGGCGUGCUUAACACAUGCAAGUCGAACGGCAAGGCCCUGCUUUUUUGGUGUUCUCGAGUGCCGAUCGGGUGAGUAACACGUGAGUAUCCUGCUCUUCACUUUGGUAUAACUUCAGGUAACUGGGGCUACUAUCGUAUAGCAUCUCCUGCUGCGUGGUGGGGGUUGGAUAGUUUCGGCGGUUGGGGAUGGACUCGCGGCUUAUCAGCUUGUUGGUUGGGUAGUGGCUUACCAAGGCUUUGACGGGUAGCCGGCCUGAGAGGGUGACCGGCCACAUGGGGACUGAGAUACGGCCCAGACUCCUACGGGAGGCAGCAGUGGGGAAUAUUGCACAAUGGGCGGAAGCCUGAUGCAGAAACGCCGCGUGCGGGAUGACGGCCUUCGGGUUGUAAACCGCUUUCGCCUGUGACGAAGCGUGAGUGACGGUAAUGGGUAAAGAAGCACCGGCUAACUACGUG